rnacentral:rRNA from 1 species
UACGUAGGGGGCAAGCGUUGUCCGGAUUUAUUGGGCGUAAAGAGCGUGUAGGCGGCCAAACAGGUCAGCUGUGAAAACUCGAGGCUCAACCUCGAGACGUCGGUUGAAACCGUAUGGCUAGAGUCCGGAAGAGGAGAGUGGAAUUCCCGGUGUAGCGGUGAAAUGCGCAGAUAUCGGGAAGAACACCCAUGGCGAAGGCAGCUCUCUGGGACGGUACUGACGCUGAGACGCGAAAGCGUGGGGAGCGAACAGG